rnacentral:rRNA from 1 species
GACGAACGCUGGCGGCGUGCUUAACACAUGCAAGUCGAACGGAAAGGCCCUGCUUUUGUGGGGUGCUCGAGUGGCGAACGGGUGAGUAACACGUGAGUAACCUGCCCUUGACUUUGGGAUAACUUCAGGAAACUGGGGCUAAUACCGGAUAGGAGCUCCUGCUGCAUGGUGGGGGUUGGAAAGUUUCGGCGGUUGGGGAUGGGCUCGCGGCUUAUCAGCUUGUUGGUGGGGUAGUGGCUUACCAAGGCUUUGACGGGUAGCCGGCCUGAGAGGGUGACCGGCCAAAUUGGGACUGAGAUACGGCCCAGACUCCUACGGGAGGCAGCAGUGGGGAAUAUUGCACAAUGGGCGGAAGCCUGAUGCAGCAACGCCGCGUGCGGGAUGACGGCCUUCGGGUUGUAAACCGCUUUCGCCUGUGACGAAGCGUGAGUGACGGUAAUGGGUAAAGAAGCACCGGCUAACUACGUG